CCCUUAGAUGUUCUGGGCCGCACGCGUGCUACACUGAGUGGAUCAGCGGGUCAGGUUGCGCGAAAGUGUUUCCUAAUCUUGAAAUCCGCUCGUGAUGGGGAUUGACGGUUGCAAUUUUCCGUCAUGAACGAGGAAUACCUUGUAAGCGCGGGUCAUCAUCCCGCGCUGAAUACGUCCCUGCCCUUUGUACACACCGCCCGUCGCUCCUACCGAUUGAGUGGUCCGGUGAGGCUUUGGGACCUGAGCGGAAAGAGCGUUUCGCUGUUUCUGCUCGGAAAACUCAGUCGAACCUUAUCAUUUAGAGGAAGGAGAAGUCGUAACA
rnacentral:rRNA from 1 species